GAUGAACGCUAGCUACAGGCUUAACACAUGCAAGUCGAGGGGCAGCACAGUGUAGCAAUACACGGGUGGCGACCGGCGCACGGGUGCGUAACGCGUAUCCAACCUUCCCGUUACUCUUGGAUAGCCUUCCGAAAGGGAGAUUAAUACAAGAUGGUAUUCAAAUUCCGCAUGUUAUUUGGAUUAAAGAUUUAUCGGUAACGGAUGGGGAUGCGUGACAUUAGAUAGUAGGCGGGGUAACGGCCCACCUAGUCUACGAUGUCUAGGGGUUCUGAGAGGAAGGUCCCCCACACUGGAACUGAGACACGGUCCAGACUCCUACGGGAGGCAGCAGUGAGGAAUAUUGGUCAAUGGUCAGAAGACUGAACCAGCCAAGUAGCGUGAAGGAUGAAGGUUCUAUGGAUUGUAAACUUCUUUUAUACGGGAAUAAAACCUCCCACGUGUGGGAGCUUGUAUGUACCGUAUGAAUAAGCAUCGGCUAACUCCGUGCCAGCCGCCGCCGUAAUAC
rnacentral:rRNA from 1 species